UCCUUUAGUUUCCUUUAGCUAGCUACGAUGAAGUUCCUUCUACUGUUAGUCUGUGCUAUAUUUCUCAUUUGCCAAGUAUUCAGCGCAGGUGCCCCUGCUGUCACUAAGGGGAUUCAAAAUGCCCGGAAAACCGACUCUGUUAUUUUACCGGGACAGUGUCCUGAAGGGAAAAUAAAAUUGCCAAGUGGAGAGUGCGUAGAUGCUGACUAACAAUAAAAUGAAGAAAGAAAAAAUGAAAACUAUAGUAUAAUUCGUACUUAUCGAAGUAGAUACCUAUGAAUUAUACCUCUAUAUUUGAAUGUUAUAUACUUACUAAU